GGGAGCGCACAACCGGUGGAGCAUGUGGUUUAAUUCGAUACAAAGCGAAAGACCUUACCUGGGUUUGAUAUGUAACUGCACGGUCUAGGAAACUAGAUCUUCUUCGAGAGUGUUACACAGGUGUUGCAUGGCUGUCGUCAGCUCGUGUCGUGAGGCGUCCACUUAAGUGUGGUAACGAGCGCAACCCUUAUCCCGUGUUACAAGUGUCACGGGAGACUGCCUUGCUUUUUGCAGGGAGGAAGGAGAGGAUGACGUCAAGUCAGCACGACCCUUACAUCCAGGGCAACACACAUCCUACAAUGGAGCCGACAACGGGUAGCGAAGCCGCAAGGCGAAGCCAAUCCUUUAAACGGCCCCUCAGUUCAGAUUGUUCUCUGCAAUUCGAGAGCAUGAAGUCGGAAUCGGUAGUAAUCGCAAAUCAGCAGGUUGCGGUGAAUACGUUCUCGCUCCUU
rnacentral:rRNA from 1 species